AGAUAAUAGCUCCCUUAAAUAUAUGUGCAAUUGCAUAUACAGAGCUCAAUUUUUGAUUUUCAUUAGAUUUAUUUGCCCCACAUACUCACCAUAUUCUCAUCGAAUACUUUCUAUCUGGGUCAUAUUAAAGGCAUGUGUAGAAUUUACUUAUGUGUAUCCCAUACCACAUGGUAUAAACGAAGAUGGCCGCCGAAGAAGAAUUACAUCGUUUUCUAUUGAUAACUUGAAGGUGUGCAAAUACUUUCCCAUCAACUAUCAUCACUGGAAAAUGCUCUGGCGAGUUUUAGCACUUAGCAGAAAACGCAGAAAAGGAUUCGACUUUGGCGAGAGCAAAUUACGAGUUGAGGUAAAAAUGUAAAAUAAACAUUCUUAUGGUCUGUG